AUGGAGGAGGAGGAGAACGCCGCCGAGCUCAAGAUCGGCGAAGAGUUUCUCAAGGCCAAGUGCCUGAUGAACUGCGAGGUGGCGAUAAUCCUGGAGCACAAGUGGGAGCAGCUGCAGCACAUGUCGGACGGCGGCGCCGACCAGGUCUCGCAGGUCUUCGAGAAGUCGCAGGCCUACGUCAAGCGCUUCAGCCGCUACAAGAACCCCGACGCCGUGCGCCAGGUCCGCGAGACGCUCUCCCGCUACAGCCUCGUCGAGUUCGAGCUCUGCACCCUGGGGAACCUCUGCCCCGACACCGCCGACGAGGCCAAGGCGCUCGUCCCCUCCCUCGUCCCCGGCGGCAGGUUCGACAGCGACGACCGCGUCGACAAGAUGCUCAACGACCUCUCCCUCAUCAAGAAGUUCGAGUAG
rnacentral:rRNA from 1 species